UGUGGGAAUACUCUGUAUCAUCUCAGGGCGUUGGUUAGUCCUUAAACAUCGAAAAACAUUUUAACACGUACCUAAUAGCUUCAAAGUAUGUUUAGUUAUUUUAUAUAACGAGGAAAAUACUUCCAUUGUGAGGGUCAAAAUUACUUGAAUUUUCCCACGUUACUCCUAAAAAAUAUUUCUAUUAUACUAUUUAUAGUGACUGAAUACAACUUACAACUGAGCAGACACGGCGUCUUACCGAAGUAAGGGCUACGGCGAAUCGUGGAGGAUGAACAGCAAAGAGCAGCAGUCCACUCCGGGAGGAGGGGAGACAGGCGUUAAAUUUGCCAACGAACAGACACGAGCUAAGCUCUAUGAAACGAAGAAAAACAAAAAAAUCAUCCGACUGAUGACAGUCAUGGCAUACGUGUUUUCUGUUUCUCUCGCUGCUAUUGUACUUUCCCUUUAUUAUGUAUUUUUGUGGGAUCCUGCCAUGCAAAGUGAUGAACAGUCAACCAUGGAACACCAUGUUUCUAACGGCAGUCCUGUAGUUCAUCCCUUUCCUGUCCCCGAGGAGCAGAUCCCUGCUUACUAUACCAGUACUACCCCAACUCCAAUCUAUGAAGACAAAUCUGCGGAAGCAUUAGCAUCAAAACAUAACGAUUUUAUUGCAGCGUCUGAAGGGUCAGCAAACGAAAACUUAACAGAAAUUUAUAAAAUACCCGAAAGAGACCAAAUUGAAAGAGGUUCGGAAUGAAAGGUUGGAAGAAAAAACUGAACGAACCUUAGAAGUAUCGUUGGUCGAUAUUUUUAGGACGUCUAUAUACUGAAAUUGUAGACCCUGAAAGUGAAAUGUCAGCUUCUAAGAUUGUGAAGAUAGUUUUUAACGAGUAGAAUAACGUAGCUUUAUUGAUCGGCAGUCCAUUAGUAUGAACAGCUACAUAGUUGCUCAGCCAUGGGAAAGCAUUGUAUGAAACAUAACAAAAGAUGACCAUGAGUGUGAAACAGCAAUAUAACGUUACAGUUCAUCCCUAUGUGUAUAAUGUACCUAAAUAAAAUCCGAGUUUAACAAAUUACUGUAGUAAUUAUUUAAUUCCUGAAUAAUUGAAAGCUCAAAUUAAUAUAUUAGUACAGAUUGAAGUUUCUGAUAAUACCAGACACUUUCUCAAAAAAUUGUGUGCAUAUAUACAUAUAUAUACGUUUAAUGUAAGAUUAUACAUAAGUGGAUCAAUUUAUUUAUUUGUAUAUUGAUAUAUAAAUUACUUCAAUAAACUGUGCUAUUUUACUGAUCCCCAUGAAAUUAUUUUUCAAUGUGUUAAUACCAAAUAAGUUUGGAUAACUUAUAUGCUUGUAACUUUUGUUUAUUUAUAGGUAUACAAGUGCAACUGUGUUUUGUAUUCUGUGUGAUAUUGUAUAACCGUUGUUUAAGAAUAAAAUACUGAGAGUAUAUUA